AAACAUGUGAAGAGAAUCAAAGGGUGUAAUUUUAAGUUGUUAAGUAGUAAUGAACCAAAUUGUGCUAUAGCCUCAACUUCUACUUCAUCUUCACUAAGCCUAAAGAAAAAGUUGCAACAAGAACACAUUUUUUCAGCUGGGAUUUUCUCAUUCAAGCCUAUAAAAAAACCAAAAUUUUGUGACAAAAAACAUAGUAUUCAUAACCUUAAGAAACAACAUAGUUAUGUGAAAAAUUUGGAACAAUCAAAAUUUUCAAGCAAAAAUAAAGUACCUAAUGAAGUUGAAGAUUUCUUCUUUUUUCCUCCAAACCCUUUUUUUCCACCACCUAUUAUCCCUAAUCCACUUCAACCUCCACCUUUGAUUCCUAACCCUUUGCAACCACCACCUUUGAUUCCAAAUCCAUUUCAACCACCAAGUCCACCCUUGAUUCCUAAUCCAUUUCAACCACCAAGUCCACCACUUAUUCCAAAUCCAUUUCAACCUCCUCCAUCAAAUCCACCACUUAUUCCUAAUCCAUUUCAACCUCCCCCAGCAAGUCCUCCACCACUCAUUCCAAAUCCAUUUCAGCCUCCACCAUCAAGUCCACCACCAUCAUUUCCUUUUCCACCAAUAGUAAUACCAGGUUUAACUCCAUCACCACCGCCGC
rnacentral:lncRNA from 1 species